CCUACGGGAGGCAGCAGUAGGGAAUAUUGCUCAAUGGGGUAAACCCUGACGCAGCAACGCCGCGUGGGGGAUGAAGGUUUUAGGAUUGUAAACUCCUUUUGUUAGAGAAGAUUAUGACGGUAUCUAACGAAUAAGCACCGGAUAACUCCGUGCCAGCAGCCUCGGUAAUACGGAGGGCGCAAGCGUUCCUCGGAAUCACUGGGCGUAAAGAGUGCGUAGGCAGGGUAAUAAGUCCGCUGGGAAAUCCUGUAGCUUAACGACAGAACUGCAUUUGAAACGGGUACUCUGGAGUGUGGGAGAGGUAGGUGGAAUUCUAGGUGUAGGGGUAAAAUCCGUAGAGAUCAAGAGGAAUACUCAUUGCGAAGGCGACCUGCUGGAACAUUACUGACGCUGAUGAACGAAAGCGUGGGUAGCAAACAGGAUUAGAUACCCCGGUAGUC
rnacentral:rRNA from 1 species